rnacentral:rRNA from 1 species
CCUACGGGUGGCAGCAGUGAGGAAUAUUGGUCAAUGGGCGCGAGCCUGAACCAGCCAAGUCGCGUGAGGGAAGACGGCCCUACGGGUUGUAAACCUCUUUUGCCGGGGAGUAACGGGCGCCACGUGUGGCGCCACUGAGAGUACCCGGAGAAAAAGCAUGGGUUAACUCCGUGCCAGCAGCCGGGGUAAUACGGAGGAUGCGAGCGUUAUCCGGUUUUAUUGGGUUUAAAGGGUGCGUAGGGGGUGCGUUAAGUCAGUGGGAAAAUUGGGGGGCUAAACCCCUUCCCGCCAUUGAAACUGGCGCUCUUGAGUGGAAGAGAGGUAUGCGGAAUGCGUGGUGUAGCGGUGAAAUGCAUAGAUAUCACGCAGAACCCCGAUUGCGAAGGCAGCAUGCCGGCUUCCUACUGACGCUGAAGCACGAAAGCGUGGGGAUCGAACAGGAUUAGAUACCCUAGUAGUC